UUGGGCCGUGGCCUCCUCUCCCACCUCCCCACGAAUGCCUCCUCCCUUUCCUCCCACUUAAAAAAUAGCUAACCUCCUCCUCGUACCCACUUGCUCCUAAUUUUCCUCUCCGUCUCCACAAUCAUCUCCUCGCCACCCUGCUUCUCGGAUCCAAAGCAGAUCAAGUCUCCUGGCAUGCUUAUCCUAGAGCAACGUACUGAAAUGCUGAGUCGAGAAAGAAUCAUUAACCCCUCGCCCAAAUCUUUCUUGCAGGAAAUUUUGGAUUUGAUUUCCAAGUACUUGGUGGUGCCACCGGGGGCCACGAUCUGGAGCGACGGGGAGGACUUCUGGAACACCGACCUAUCCAAGUUUGAGAUCCGGGCCAGGUUCGCAUCUAGUACGCCGUCCGCAACGUCGCCAUCAAGAUGGUGAGCCAGCUAGAGCUGGAUCCCGCCAUCGCCGCCUAGUUCGAGCGCAGCCUUCGUGGUCUCCCUCUGCCUCCGCCACCAGAACAUCAUCACUGUACGUACUUCUGCAAUCCUCUUGUUUUCUCAGUCCAACCUUUCUCAGCCGCAAUUCCCGCCCUCCGUCGAUCUGAUCCACCGGCGUCGAUGGCGACGCAUCCAUAUUUCUCUGCUGGAUCUUUCAGUUCUUAGUCAUUUUAGUAUUUCAACAUCUUCGCUGGAUUUCCCGCUGUAGUGUUGUAGAAUAGGGCAGGCCCAAGCUCCCACUUCUCCUUUCCAGAUGUUCAAUUUUAGGCAUGUUUCCUAUCUAGUUCUCCAUCUGCAGGUUGUUGCUACUUAUCUGACUGAUUUACAUAUAUGGAACCGUGGUUAUCUGUGUUAAUUCACAGGAAGAAUAUUUGCUUCCUCCUUUUCUGACAAACUGUUUUUGUGAUGCAUUUAAUUUCUUUGAUUUUCUUGCAACUAUAUAGUAUGUAGGUGAAUACUUAAUUACUAAUAUUUUCAGUUGAAGUUGAUCAUCAUACUCAUUCAAUUAGCUGCCAUAUCAUCUCAAACUUAUCCUAGUUUGUGACCAUGUCAUCAAAGUGGAUCUUCAAGGAUCAAUGGGUCAACACUAUUAACGGCGAAUGACAUUUUGAUUACUUUAUGGAGAAAAAAAGAUCCCCUUAUCAGUGUUAUGAAUCUUAUUAAUUUGUUUGACACACUUUGGCAGGAAAGAAAUGAGUCAGACAUGCACAUCUCUGCACAUCUUAACUCGUUCCUGUCGGUUCUAUAUGUUUCUUGUGCCGCCCCACUUCUAUCUAUUUUGGUGUCCGCAUCAUCAGUUACACCAAUAUUAUCCACCAGGUUGCCAUUCCAGGCUUCGACUAUGCUCAUUUUUGGGUUUAAAAUUUGGUUUAGUUGUAAACGUGCAGGGCAGGAACAAUGUCUCUCCUUGAUGGGUUGUACAGGCGAGGUUAGGUGCAUCUCCUUUAUGGACAGCAGCGACUCGGCCGAACUAAUGCAGCGAAUAUAAUGCAAGAUGCAGUACUGAGAAGUCAGAUGGAUCUAAAUUGCCAAGAAGUGAUGAUGCUUGGGUUAGAUGUUGAUGGCAACGUCGAGAAUGUGGCCACUAUUAGAUAAUUAGAAUGUCAUAUUUAAGGUCAACGUUUCAACCAUUGUAGUUGAUUGCAAGGUUGACAAUUGGGCUACUACUAGAUUGUUUCACAUCUUGUAAUCUUUGGAAUGUGUUCUUUUGUAAUGCAACACAAUUGAUUUAAUACACGAGACUUUCUGUUCA